rnacentral:rRNA from 1 species
CGCAAGCCUGACGGAGCAAGACCGCGUGCGGGAUGACGGCCUAAUGGUUGUAAACCGCUUUUCUCUGGGAAGAAUGAUGACGGUACCAGAGGAAUCAGCCUCGGCUAACUCCGUGCCAGCAGCCGCGGUAAUACGGAGGAGGCAAGCGUUAUCCGGAAUUAUUGGGCGUAAAGCGUCCGUAGGUGGUUAUUCAAGUCUGCUGUCAAAGCGUGGGGCUUAACUCCAUAGAGGCAGUGGAAACUGGAUGACUUGAGUGCGGUAGGGGUCGAGGGAAUUCCCAGUGUAGCGGUGAAAUGCGUAGAUAUUGGGAAGAACACCAGUGGCGAAGGCGCUCGACUGGGCCUGCACUGACACUGAGGGACGAAAGCUAGGGGAGCG